rnacentral:rRNA from 1 species
UGGGGAAUAUUGCACAAUGGGCGCAAGCCUGAUGCAGCAACGCCGCGUGAACGAUGAAGGUCUUCGGAUCGUAAAGUUCUGUUGCAGGGGAAGAUAAUGACGGUACCCUGUGAGGAAGCCCCGGCUAACUACGUGCCAGCAGCCGCGGUAAUACGUAGGGGGCUAGCGUUAUCCGGAUUUACUGGGCGUAAAGGGUGCGUAGGUGGUCUUUCAAGUCGGUGGUUAAAGGCUGCGGCUCAACCGUAGUUAGCCUCCGAAACUGGAAGACUUGAGUGCAGGAGAGGAAAGUGGAAUUCCCAGUGUAGCGGUGAAAUGCGUAGAUAUUGGGAGGAACACCAGUAGCGAAGGCGGCUUUCUGGACUGCAACUGACACUGAGGCACGAAAGCGUGGGUAGCAAACAGG